AAAAGGCAGCCUUUCAUGUGUAAAAAAAAGCCAAGGCAAGUAAAAAAAAAUAAAAUAAAAAGGCAGCCUUUCAUGAGUUAAAAAAGCCAAGGCUAGAAAAAAGAACAUCGAGCAAAAAAUAGAAUUAUGCUCAAAAGAAUAAGAUGACUUGGUUUAGAUGGUAGAAAAUUCUCAAGUUUGGGGUGUUGAGCUGUCAGAAUUUUGUACGCAUUCAGUGAGAUGGGAAGGAUGUUGUGAAGGAUGUUGUGAGGGAUGUGCUAGUAUUUUAAGAAUGGUGAUAAGCUACUUAUCCAAAUAUGAUCACACCUUUACCAAAAGCCCCGUUACAUCCAAAUGAAAAAGACCUUUUGAUUUAUGCAUCAUAUUGACUUGUGAGCGGUGAAUUUUGCUUGAUUUUGGGAGAAAGAUCUUAUGUGCUUAAAAUAAAGAAUAGCUGGAAGAACUUCUCUUUAUGAAUUAGCGACGAUGGUUUGAGACUCCCAAGACAUAAAUCGAACUUACAUUGAAGCAUUGGAUGCCUAGUUCUUAGGGAAUUAGUUCGUGUACAAUUCUUGUUCUAAAGUCUUACUCGCGCGUGAAUUCGGGCUCAACCUAAUUUCUCUAAAUGAUUCAUGCGAUUUGACGUAACUUGAAGUAGAGGAUUAUCAAAUGUCCUGUGAAUGUGCUUAUUUAUCUAACUUGCUUGAGGGCGAGCAAGACUUAUGUUUGGGAAGUAAUUGAUGUGUGUGGGUAAUUGUUUAACUUGUUAUUACAAAAUGGAUGAAAUGGAGGGUAGUGUACUACUGCUCCAGUUCAAUUUUGACCACCUCACUAUUUAUUCCAGCGAGUUGAAGGGUAUAAAGCUGCAACCAAUAUUUGCUUCAAUAUUCAAACAUUUAUUUAAUAAACCUAACUUUAGUUCGAUAUUUAAUGUGUCAUUUCAUACUAAAGCCAUCAAUGAAGAACUAUUGCCAAAUCUUUAUGAUGCUCUACACUUGUUGGUACCUGAUAAAAUUGGGGUUGGACUUGCUUUGUCUAAUUCUGAAGAACACGAUAUCAUCAUGAUACCAGGAUGUGUGGUUAGUUAUUCUCUUCUUUGUACAUACAUUUAGACAUAAUUUUUUGUUUAGUUGUAGGAAGUGGAAUACAUACAACAGUUUAUUAUUUUUAUCUCCUUGGAAUUCUUCUACUUGUUGCACUAAACCUGUAACCCUUUUCUUGGCUGUGUAUUCAGGAAAGACUUUCUGUUUGAGUCAGAUUACAGAGCUGCUGUGUACCAAUCCUGUUGCGUUUGAGGCUAUUGAGAUAAUUCAGCAUAUUCUCAUGUUACUCUUAGUCGAUUUGAAGGCCUCUCUAACCAUUUAGAUUCGUUCUUGCAAAUGUUAUCUCUCGUGGAACUAAGUUUGCAGGACUUGCUUCUAAAAAAGAAAUCGUGGGCCUUGGAAACUGGUUGAGCACUCAAUUAGUGUCAAGUAAAGAUACUUUAUAUGAGGAAUGGAAAUUGCAGCUUGUUGCCACUAUGUAGUAAAUACUUUAACUACAAUAGAUGGAAUCUAGACUACUUCGAUUUCUGUAUAUUUGAGUUUGUUUUCUUUACCUGUCCGUUUGAUGAUUAUGAUUGAUACAACAAAUUCUGGUUUACUGAGUGAACAUAAGAACAGAUUAAUAGUGUUGUAAUAUACUAUUCAACUUAACUAUGAGUUGUAAUGUUACGCCGUUCUAAAAUUUUCAGCUUGCCUGUAAUGUUUAUCCUUUGUGAAUGCUGCUGCUUCAGUAUCAUUCAAUAAUCAUCACUUGUGACUCACCAUAUGCUGUGUAUUGCUGCAUCAACUUGUGACUCACCAUAUGCUGUGUAUUGCUGCAUCAACUUGUGACUCACCAUAUGUUGUGUAUUGCUGCAUCAACUUCUGACUCACCAUAUGAUGUGUAUUGCUAGAGCUGCUUUAGAUGCUUUGGGGAAGCUUGCAAAUUCAAGAGUUUGUUCCUUCCUAGGUUAUUGGUUAAUGUUAUUAUUUUGAAUUUUAGUAUAACCUUGGAUUUAAGACAUUCCCAUGUUUUUCUUCGAGAGUAAGGUAUUAGAGGAGUUUCUGGACCGUAUCAUUGAGUAGUACUGCUCCAGUUUAGUUUUGACCACCUCUCUAUUUAUUCCAGCGAGUUGAAGGCCAUCAAUGAAGAACUUCUGCAUAAUCAGUCUGAUGCUCUACACUUGUCUGUACCUGAUAAAAUUGAAGUUGGUCUAGCUUUGUCUAAUUCUGAAGAACACGAUACCAGGAUGAGUGGAAAGAAAUUCUUUUUGGGUUAGAUUUCAGAGCUGUGUGCCAAUCCUGUUGCACUUCCUGUUGCACUUGAGGCUACUGAGAUAAUUCAGCAUAUUCUUUUUGAAGUGAUCUGUUUGGUCAAGUUCCUCAACAAUUUAUUUUGACCUAACAUCUCUUAUAUGCCAGUUAGGUAGUUUUAUACUUAGUCUACUGUGUUUGAGUUUUUUUAUCUUUACUUGUCCGUUUGAUGUUUAUGAUUGAUAAAUCAAAUUAUUGGUUUACUGAGUGAACAUGAUCCCAGAUAAAUAAUGUCAUAAAAUACUCUUCAACCUAACUAUGUUAAUUGUAAUGUUACCCUGUUGUAAAAUUUUCAGCUUGCCUAUAAUGUUUAUCCUUUGUGAAUGCUUCUACUUCAGAUCAGUCAUUAAGCAUCAACGCGUGACUCACCUUACGUUGGGUAUUGCUUUACGAGCUGUUUUAGAUGCUUUGUGGAAGCCUGCAGAUCCGGAAGUUUGUUCCUUCCUAGGUUAUCAGUGAAUGUUAUUAUUGUGAAUUACAGUCUGACCUUGGAUUUAUGACAUUAUGAUGUUUUCAUUUGGGAGUAAGGCAUUGGAACAGUUUGUGGACCGUCUUAUUGAGUGGCCACAAUACUGCCAUCAUAUCCUACACUUUGCAGC